AAGACUAUAGACCUGCGGAGUACCUGCGGAAGGAUCAUUGUCGAUAUAUUCGAGGGAGACCUCGUUCAAUAUAUAACAAACACCUCGUGCACCUCUACGUGAAAGGAAGUUGUAAAAGGCUUCCGUUCCGUAUUUUUCUUAUAAAUGCCUUCUGUCGUUUAACGCGUGUUAUUUUGAUAUAAUUUGAAACACAACUUUUAACAACGGAUCUCU
rnacentral:misc_RNA from 1 species